UACAGCUCUACUAAUGCUCUUCAAUUUAACCCAAUGACGAGAGAUUUCUACUUAUUAUAUGAUGCUUUUCCAUUGUCUCUCUCCUUCCUCCACUCAGGCUGUAGAAGGAAUGGAAAGGUUGAAAGCCCAAAGCAAAAAUGACGAGGUCAAACGUGAAGGUGAACCAGCACCUCUCGUACCAGGGAACAACCAACCACUGCCCCCCAGUCACCAACAGCAAGGCAUGCCAGUGCCAGGACACUCUUAGCAAACCUCGCCACUCUGUUUGCUGUAUGAAUGCCUGUGAGUGAGUGUGUGUGUGUAUGUACGUUUGCUUCAUAAUUAUUUCAAUGUGUUGUGAAAGAAUUCCUGAACUCCACAUGACAGAAAAAUGCUUUGAUACUGGAAAAAAGGAUAUCCCUGAAUCACUACCAAUUUCUUCCAAAUUCAUCCGUUUUUUUGUUUUUUUUAGUUAUGCUGCUCACAGACAUGGACAGAAAAACACAACCAAAAACAUAACCUCCUUCAUGGAGCUGGAGCUAAAUAUGACUUCAUUUUCAUUUUCAUUUUGUGUCCCUUUUGCCAUUCCCCGUGAUGGUUGAUUCAGCUGCAUGAACGACCAUUUAAACAUUGGAGCUGGUCCAGGUUUCUGUGUGCACAAAUGACUUUUUUGAUUUUGUCUUUAUGAUCGGCCUCUGUUCUCCAUGGGAAGUUUAAUAGAAAAAGUUUUGUCAAUUGUACACUGUAGUGUCUUGUCGCUGUGUCUUCUUUUUCUUACCAAAAUCUACUUUGUGCAAAACUGCAAGAGUUCAGUUUUUCUUCUUUUAAUGAGAUAAAAAAAACGGUUAUGCCCAUUUUAGCAAGUGUUUACAUAUCAAUAGAAUAAAUCUAUUUGUUUAAAAAAGUAAAUACAUUUUUGAGAUUUCCCACUAAGCUCUCUGUUUCUAUAAGUAACUUUUUAAAUGGUUGAGUGUCGGCAGUGAAACUCUUCCAAACACAUGAAGCUAAAGAAAAAAUCUGGUGUAAGUUGUUUGUUCUUUGGACCAGAUGAUUGUUUACAUAUUUUUACUUGGAUUAUUUAAUUUAAUUUUAUUUAAUUUUGCUGGUGUGACUGAAUGGAUACAAAAGGGGCUGGUUACCAUGCGCUUGUGAGAGUGAGUUUUCAUAGUUGCAUGAUUAAUGUAUUCUCUAUUGUUGUCAAUGAAAGUGAACAUGGGAGUUUAACUGAAGGGUCACAUGUCUAAAAAAACAAAAAAACAAACAGAUUCCAGAACAGUCAUCAGCAAACAUAUAGUAGGAAAUAAAAUAAGAACACUCUUAUUUUUGGUAGAUUUUAAUGUCUUAUCUGUGGUUUACCUUCUUGAUGUUUAUUUUUAUUUAUUUUUUAUUUGAUGUCCUUUUUUUGUUUUCUAAGUCAUUAAAUCUGUCCACCAACAACAUCAUGUGAAUUCCUGAAGCUGCUCAACUGUACAUGAAUGUUAUGUGGACAAUAAAGUGAAUAAGCUUGCA